GUGCCUUCGGGAACUGUGAGACAGGUGCUGCAUGGCUGUCGUCAGCUCGUGUUGUGAAAUGUUGGGUUAAGUCCCGCAACGAGCGCAACCCUUAUCCUUUGUUGCCAGCGGUUAGGCCGGGGAACUCAAAGGAGACUGCCAGUGAUAAACUGGAGGAAGGUGGGGGAUGACGUCAAGUCAUCAUGGCCCUUACGACCAGGGCUACACACGUGCUACAAUGGCAUAUACAAAGAGAAGCGACCUCGCGAGAGCAAGCGGACC
rnacentral:rRNA from 1 species